UCCACCAGAGGGCACUUUAUGAACCACAUAGACUGUUGGUGUUCCUGGCAUAGAAGGGAUUGGAUGUCAGGUAGAGGACACACUCGUGAAAUCGAUUUGUUGUUGUUUAUCUGGAAACUUUGGAUACGAUGAACAUUUUGAGAAAAACUCAAUGGUUAACGUGACUUUGUAGUUCAUCAGGAUUUUCUUUUUUUAUCGAAAUAGGGAAGUUAACUAUCGCCACCGGGAAUGGUGAAAUGUUUUCCAUAAGGAGGAGACAAUCCAGGAUACAAGACGGCUUCCCUCACAAAUAUCCGCACCAACAACAACAACACUGACUAUUCAGCGAACGGGACUUCAGGAAUGGCCAAUAAUGUGCCAUGGUUCAGCCUCUUGACAAUGGUCACUAUUUCUGCUACCCUAUCCUUCAUGGCUGACGCUCAAGACUGUUUCGGAGGCAUUGAAACGUUCGAAAAGAUGGUUUCCAUGAGCUUCAGCGGUGUUGUUUCCUACAAGUCUAUGUUGCAGCAACCGGGUCAAGCUAUUACAAGGGACUGCAUCAACCUCUGCAAGCAGCAGGCAGCCUGUCUCUCAUUUUCACUCAACUACACUUCAUCAUCCUGCAUCUCUUACAACGUCAAUUCAGUUGGAAGGGGUGGAGACAUUCAUUACUCAAAAGCGGUCAACUUUUACGAAAAAAUUUGCUUCA